rnacentral:rRNA from 1 species
GACGAACGCUGGCGGCGUGCUUAACACAUGCAAGUCGAACGAAGUGGCGAACGGGUGAGUAACGCGUAAUCAACCUGCCCUUCAGCGGGGGACAACAGGUGGAAACGACUGCUAAUACCGCAUACGGAAGGAGGGGAUGGGGUUUGAUUAGCUAGUUGGAGGGGUAACGGCCCCCCAAGGCGAUGAUCAGUCGCCGGUCUGAGAGGAUGAAACGCCAACGUUGGACUGAGACCACGCCCAGACUUCCACGGGAGGCAGCAGGGGGGAAUCUUCCGCCAUGGACGAAAGUCUGACGGAGCAACGCCGCGUGAGUGAUGAAGGCCUUCGGGUUGGAAAGCUCUGUUAAUCGGGACGCGGUACCGGAAUAGAAAGCCACGGCUAACUCCGUGCCAGCCGCCGCGGUAAUAC